rnacentral:misc_RNA from 1 species
GAUGAAGAACGCAGCGAAAUGCUAUACGUAAUGUGAAUUGCAGAAUUCAGUGAAUCAUCGAAUCUUUGAACGCAUAUUGCGCUCUCUGGUAUUCCGGAGAGCAUGCUUGUUUGAGUAUCAGUAAACACCUCAACUUCCAUAUCUUUUUUGAAAUGGGAGUUGGACUUGAGUGAUCCCAACGCUUUUCCUCACCGAAAAGUGGCGGGUUACUUGAAAUGCAGGUGCAGCUGGACUUUUCUCUGAGCUAUAAGCAUAUCUAUUUAGUCUGCCUAAAAAACAGAUUAUUACCUUUGCUGCAGCUAACAUAAAGGAGAUUAGUUCUUGUGCUGACUGAUGCAGGAUUCACAAAGACAGCUUCGGCCGACUUUGUAAACUCGAUCUCAAAUCAAGUAAGACUACCCGCUGAACUUAAGCAUAUCAAUAAGCGGAGGA